rnacentral:rRNA from 1 species
GACGAACGCUGGCGGCGUGCUUAACACAUGCAAGUCGAACGGAAAGGCCUUUUCGGAGUUGCUCGAGUGGCGAACGGGUGAGUAACAAGUGGGUGAUCAGCCCGGCCCUCUGGGAGAAGCCUGGGAAACUGGGUCUGAUACAGGACAGGUACGCGCUCUAGUGGGUGGGGGGGGAUGGUUUAGGGGUGUAGGAUGGGGCCGCGGCCUAGCAGCUUGUUGGUGGGGGAAUGGCCUACCCAGGCGGCGGCGGGUACGCGGACUGGGAGGGUGGGCGGGCACAUUGGGAACGAGAUAAGGCCCAGGCUCCUACGGGAGGCAACCGUGGGGAAUAAUGCACAAUGGGCGCAAGGCCGGUGGCGCGAAGCCGCGUGGGGGAUGACGGCCUUCGGGUUGUAAACUCCUUUCGCCCGGGACGAAGCGUUUUGUGACGGUACCUGGAGAAGAAGCACCGGCUAACUACGUG